rnacentral:tRNA from 1 species
AACAGGAUAGCUCAACGGUAGAGCAGCAAUUUUUCACAUUGCGUGUUGUGGGUUCGAUUCCCGCUCCAAUAA